CGAAAGGAAAAAACAAAUCAAAUUACCGAAAAAACACUGUUGACUGAUCAAGGACGGGCGGGCAGCAAAGUAUUGAUGAACUUCAACAGGUUAGAAGGAUGAAAGAUUAUGCAGUCAAAAGCAAUUUCAUAUUGAUCCAGCCUGCAUACGUGAGGUUCAGGAGAUCUCUCUUUCAAGUCAGUUCCAACAUAAGCACAUUGUUCAAUAUUAUGGCACAUUCAAGGACAAGACCAAACUUUAUAUCUUUCUUGAGCUUGCAACUGGAGGUUCACUUUUAAAUCUCUAUCAAAAGCAUAAACUGUCAGACUCCCAAGCCUCUAAAUACACAAGGCAGAUUGUGAAAGGUUUGAAAUAUCUACAUGAGCAUAAUGUAGUUCACAGGUGAUUCAAAUGAUCUUACUACUACAUUUUUUGGUUAUAUUGCUUGUGCUUUAUUUGUUUAUACCUUGCUCUAUCCACAUGCCAUUACUGCUUGAAACAUGUGCUGAUUAUUUCAAUUAUCUGCCUUUGCUACCAAGAGAAUUGCAUAUGCAUAAACUAAAUGGCCUUCUUACUCAGGGAAAAUUGGUUCACUCUGUUGAGAAAGUUCUUCAGUUUUUAUUUUAUUAUUUUAUUUUUGUUUUUAUCUUCUUGAAACCUUCAAUAUUAUUUGGAUUGCACCGGUUAGCCCACUUACUGAAUUCUGUGAUUACAGACUGCUUGGUGAAGUGAAAAGUUCAACACUCCCACCUGCCCUCUUCCAGGAAAAGAAAAAUGGAAAAACCAAAAACAAAAAGAAGAGUCAGGAGCAUGGAUGUUAAACAUGGUCAUUGUCUGAUAACUAAGAUGAAACUACCCAAAGCCUUGGUAUAGAUAUAGAUAUCCCCAAUUUUCUGUGUACCUUACAUUGUGUCUUCACAUGUGGGGUUUACGUUGUUUGUUUUGAGAUUAUUGUGUAUCUUAAUAGUUUAAUCCUUUCAUAAAACUCCAUGUAAGUUAUGAUAUGAGGUGUGGUCCAUUUCCAUUUGACUUCAUGCAAUUAGCUGUAUUAUAUAUCACUUUGUAUAUUCUGCCUCAGUGCUUGAUCUUGCUAUAAUAUAAUUUUUUUUUUCUUUUUUCUUUUUUCUUUUUUCUUUUUUAAUUUGUAAGUCAAAAUUUUCUUUAAAAGCAACAUAUAAGAAAACAUACAUAAUAAUGAUUCAACUUUCUCUCUCUCUCUGAUUCACUUGAUUUGAGUGUCUCUUCAGGAGAGUUUUUGGGUCAUGAUUACAGAAUGGAAACCUGAAAAUUGAAAGAAUCCUAAUGCAAAAGCCAUUUACAAUGCUACAAACUCUCUCUCUCUCUCUCUCUCUCUCUCUCUCUCUCAUAUGAUUGAGAUGGUAAAUGGCAUAACUAGCAAGGCUAGAACCAUGGAGGGAUGUGAUCAUGGGACUCAGAAGUACCACCAGUAGGUCAUAAGGGAAAUUAGGCUUAUUGAUUUGGUCAUGCGCAACAAAGGCCAAUAAUUGCAUUGUUAAGAAGAGAUGGGUGGACAUUGGGAAUCAAUUGAGGUUACUUCAGGAAAUUAGACAUUUGGAAUGACAGUUGAAGCCACAAUGUUGUACAUUUACUUACACAUAAAUUGUUUCUGUUGUAAGACUAAUAGGUUCUGUAUCAUCUUCGAGGGAUAUCUGGUGGAUGUAAAUGGAACCGUGAAACUUGUGGAUUUUGGAUUGGCAAAGUUUUGCAAAUUGAACGACAUAAAAUCUUUUAAAGGGACUGCAUUCCGGAUGGCCCCUGAGGUCAUUAAUGAGGACAAACAAGAGAACGAUGGUUAUGGGUUUGCAGCUGAUAUAUGGAGCCUCGGGUGCACUGUAUUAGAGAUGUUAACUCGGCAACAUCCAUAUCCCAAAUUGGAGCCGGUAUGUAUAAGCUUCAAUGGAAACAAAUAAUCAUUCCAACAUUACAUUCUUAUAAUGCAUCCAAACAUAAGAAUUAGAAUCACCAAAUCUAUUUCUAUUCAAGAAGAUAUAGGAAUGAAAACAAAGUUUUUAUUCUUAUUCCUCAUUCCCAUAUACUAAACAUGGCUUGAGGGCAAUGGACUGAUUUCAAUGGUAUGUAUACUUGUCUUAAAUAUUUGGUAUUAGCAACUUGCCCUAUGGUAAAAGUGUGGUUUGGGUUGAGAAUGGUAUAAAGAUGAGCCUAGGGUUGUCAAUGGAGCCUGCAAAUAGCUGUUGGAUUUGAAGGUUGAAUAGGAAUUUGCACAAGAAGGUUUUGGGAGGUGAGAAAAUGAAAAUGGAUGUUGGUGGAACUGAGAGU